rnacentral:tRNA from 1 species
GUUUUAAUAGUUUAAUAAAAACAUUGGUCUUGUAAAUCAAAAUUAAGAUCCGUCCUUUUAAAACU